AACGCGAAGAACCUUACCUGGCCUUGACAUGUCCGGAAUCCUGCAGAGAUGCGGGAGUGCCUUCGGGAAUCGGAACACAGGUGCUGCAUGGCUGUCGUCAGCUCGUGUCGUGAGAUGUUGGGUUAAGUCCCGCAACGAGCGCAACCCUUGUCCUUAGUUGCCAGCGAGUAAUGUCGGGAACUCUAAGGAGACUGCCGGUGACAAACCGGAGGAAGGUGGGGAUGACGUCAAGUCCUCAUGGCCCUUACGGCCAGGGCUACACACGUACUACAAUGGUCGGUACAGAGGGUUGCAAUACCGCGAGGUGGAGCCAAUCCCAGAAAGCCGAUCCCAGUCCGGAUCGGAGUCUGCAACUCGACUCCGUGAAGUCGGAAUCGCUAGUAAUCGCGGAUCACCUAUGCCGCGGUGAAUACGUUCCCGGGUCUUGUACACACCG
rnacentral:rRNA from 1 species